rnacentral:rRNA from 1 species
AAAUUGAAGAGUUUGAUCAUGGCUCAGAUUGAACGCUGGCGGCAGGCCUAACACAUGCAAGUCGAGCGGUAGCACAGAGAGCUUGCUCUCGGGUGACGAGCGGCGGACGGGUGAGUAAUGUCUGGGAAACUGCCUGAUGGAGGGGGAUAACUACUGGAAACGGUAGCUAAUACCGCAUAAUGUCGCAAGACCAAAGUGGGGGACCUUCGGGCCUCAUGCCAUCAGAUGUGCCCAGAUGGGAUUAGCUAGUAGGUGGGGUAACGGCUCACCUAGGCGACGAUCCCUAGCUGGUCUGAGAGGAUGACCAGCCACACUGGAACUGAGACACGGUCCAGACUCCUACGGGAGGCAGCAGUGGGGAAUAUUGCACAAUGGGCGCAAGCCUGAUGCAGCCAUGCCGCGUGUGUGAAGAAGGCCUUCGGGUUGUAAAGCACUUUCAGCGGGGAGGAAGGCGGUGAGGUUAAUAACCUCAUCGAUUGACGUUACCCGCAGAAGAAGCACCGGCUAACUCCGUGCCAGCAGCCGCGGUAAUACGGAGGGUGCAAGCGUUAAUCGGAAUUACUGGGCGUAAAGCGCACGCAGGCGGUCUGUCAAGUCGGAUGUGAAAUCCCCGGGCUCAACCUGGGAACUGCAUUCGAAACUGGCAGGCUAGAGUCUUGUAGAGGGGGUAGAAUUCCAGGUGUAGCGGUGAAAUGCGUAGAGAUCUGGAGGAAUACCGGUGGCGAAGGCGGCCCCUGGACAAAGACUGACGCUCAGGUGCGAAAGCGUGGGGAGCAAACAGGAUUAGAUACCCUGGUAGUCCACGCCGUAAACGAUGUCGAUUUGGAGGUUGUGCCCUUGAGGCGUGGCUUCCGGAGCUAACGCGUUAAAUCGACCGCCUGGGGAGUACGGCCGCAAGGUUAAAACUCAAAUGAAUUGACGGGGGCCCGCACAAGCGGUGGAGCAUGUGGUUUAAUUCGAUGCAACGCGAAGAACCUUACCUGGUCUUGACAUCCACAGAACUUUCCAGAGAUGGAUUGGUGCCUUCGGGAACUGUGAGACAGGUGCUGCAUGGCUGUCGUCAGCUCGUGUUGUGAAAUGUUGGGUUAAGUCCCGCAACGAGCGCAACCCUUAUCCUUUGUUGCCAGCGGUUCGGCCGGGAACUCAAAGGAGACUGCCAGUGAUAAACUGGAGGAAGGUGGGGAUGACGUCAAGUCAUCAUGGCCCUUACGACCAGGGCUACACACGUGCUACAAUGGCAUAUACAAAGAGAAGCGACCUCGCGAGAGCAAGCGGACCUCAUAAAGUAUGUCGUAGUCCGGAUUGGAGUCUGCAACUCGACUCCAUGAAGUCGGAAUCGCUAGUAAUCGUAGAUCAGAAUGCUACGGUGAAUACGUUCCCGGGCCUUGUACACACCGCCCGUCACACCAUGGGAGUGGGUUGCAAAAGAAGUAGGUAGCUUAACCUUCGGGAGGGCGCUUACCACUUUGUGAUUCAUGACUGGGGUGAAGUCGUAACAAGGUAACCGUAGGGGAACCUGCGGUUGGAUCACCUCCUUA